UUAAGAUGCUGUCCAUUUUUGUCAGUGAUCUUACCUGAGUAUCAGAUGAGUAUCUCUUUUCAAGACAAGUGCUCAGGCUGAAAGUUUGAAGGAAAUAGAACAUUACUGUGAUAGUAUUCUGAGUUUACAUUUUAACUUCCAUUCAAAAUGUUACAUAAAUAGAAAAAGAACAUCUUUUUUACUCCUGCUAAGUGAUUAAAUAUGAUGAAAAUACAUUGUAGUGUCAAAAAUUGUUUAAAUAAUCCCUCCUCUGACCUUAAAAAUUUGGUGUUUAACGAAGACAAAGGCAGAGCAGAAAUUUACUUUACCAAGUUACCUCUAUUUUGCAAGACCUUCUAGUGAAUAUUGAAUUGUAUGGUAUCCUGUUCAUUUACACAUAGGGCAGCUGAAGCUGAGUAGCAUAGACCUAGGAUUAGAAUUCAGGAUUUGUCUCCUGUGCUUAAUUCCAUGGCGUCACACUACUUCUAUGAGACCUUUAGGGUUUUGUGAAUGUUUUCCUUGUUAAUUUUGACUGCAUACGCAUCAAUACCCAUUGAGUGGGUGUGUGAAUCUGUAAUACACAUAUGGCUAAUGCCAGUGCUUACUUUGGUAUAUACAUGACUAGAUACAGAACUUCAUAUUUCAGAGGAUAUACUUAACUUUUGACAUGAAAUUCUGAGGUCUCAUCUUUGAAAUACGAAUAGCGCUUUCCAGUAUAUUUGUGUUCAUGUUGGAAAGACGUUUGGAGUUUAUUAAAGACAACCAUGGUGAAGAGAGAAAUGCUGACCUAAGAGCAUUGAAAUGGCGUCCUACUAGUGCCAAAGCAGAAAUUCCACCAGCACAAACAGUAAAAGAAUGGUCUCGGAUUGGGAGUAAAAGAAAAC
rnacentral:lncRNA from 1 species